rnacentral:piRNA from 1 species
UGGAAGAAUUCCUAAGUGAUCUUCGCAU